rnacentral:tRNA from 1 species
GUGGUGGCUCAGUGGUAGAGCGUUUGCCUAGCAUGUGCAAGGCACUGAGUUCAAUUCUCAACACCACA